rnacentral:tRNA from 1 species
GCCUGGGUUGCUCAGUGGUUGAGCACCUGACUUUGGCUCAGGUCAUGAUCCCGAGGUCCUGGGAUAGAGUCCUACACUGGGCU